AGCUCCCGGAAAGGAGAUAUUUUGACUUCACUUUUCCAUAGCGCACAAACAAGGACCUUCUAAUCAUAGUCUCCUGUUGCCAUGAUGGGUGCACAGCGUCACAGGAAGUGCCUUUAAGCAAUUAACAAGUGUAAACAAGUCAGAUUGGCACAUGUCAGGGGCAGCACCCUGUAGUGUGGCGGCUGUACCAAGGGACUGAAAUCUCAGGCAGGAUGAGGGUGUUGUUGAAACGGAGCAAAGAAACAGACUGGAAUGAUGAUGUCAUCAAGUGACAAAUCCUCGAUCUGCUCCACUGACAAUAAGUAACUCCCAGGACAAUAUGACAGCGCCCACUGUGAUUUUACUGGAAUUGAGACGUAGUUCACAGCUGGAAGACCAGCAUUCAAAUAAAACUAACUUGGAUGUAAUUUCUCAAACAAAAACUGUGCUAGUCACAAAUUUCAUGUCAGGCGACCAGCUGUAGAUGAAGUCAUCCAUUCAAAAGUUGAUGUGCUAGUUUCUAGGUUAGAGAUAGACUUGUCUCUGCAGAUAUUGAUUUUACUGUCCAAAAUCACUGGAAAAACAUGAUGUAAAUUCUGUUUAAGGGUAGAUUGUUUCUUUGAAAGCAAUGCUGAGAUGUAAACUGUUUUGAAACGGCAUAAAUUAGAGUAAUGAAAAGAGAAACACAUUUGGCGUUGCCAUUAGUCCUAGAAUUCAUGAAUAUAAUAAGCAGUAUUAAUAAAGUUGGCAACAUGAUGCACCAUGUGGGAUUUCACUGGUACUGUAUGCAGUUGUAUGAAAGUGACAAUGACAAAAUCCGGUGUUAAAAACAUCCACCAACCUAAAAACAGGUCAAAACAGGUCAUUUGUCACUGUCAUCCAAAAAGAUCCAUGUGAGCGUUUUCUGAACUGCCACCUCUAUGAUUAAGUCCAGGCUGAACUACUAACUGCUUGGUCAAGGUUAGUAAAAAGCUGUCAUCAUUGAUAAAAAACAGUACUGGGGAAAGAUUGUGGUCGUGGCUUUAAGAAACUGUUGUUGACUGUUGUUCAUAUCAGAAAAUCUCACAAUCACUUUGCUUCAAAAAAGGCUGAUAAGGGUUAAAUAAUGAAACACAGCUUCUAGAGGAUGAACUGAAUAGUAUAGUGAUCAUUAACAGAAUUCCUUAUUACAAUCUGAGCAUGGCUAACCCUUUAACACUUAUCAAGGCUUAUAUGAAACAUUUUCUUAAACUUAAAAUAACUAGCUUAUACACUGGACGUCACUCGUAAUUUUUUCCCACAAUGCAGCUUUUCAUCAUUCUUCCAUCACCGCACGUGCGAUAUCCCAGCAACAGGAUUCUUAUUAAAAUUAUAUAACUUUUCUUUCCGGAUAGAAGAAAUUUGUAAAGAUGGCUGCUGUAACGAACCCCUGGGAGCCAUUAGGGGCUUGUGUUCAAAGUCAAAGGGAUUAAAGGAUGCUUUGUUGGACACAUAAAAGGGAGAGGGAGGGAGUGAGAGAGAAUCAGAACGAGAGGGAGAUUUUCUCCUUCUGUCCUGCUCAUCAACAACACGCUGUCUUCUCAGCUCCCUGUGUCUCUCAUUUAGCGGCAGGCUGUUUGGAUUCAUGUUUGAAGCGCCACUGUCAGCUAAUGGCUGAUUGAUUCAUUACAGUCAUCAAGUUGAUGCAGCUAAUGGAUGUUUAAACAUCACCGUCAGAACAGUUGUUCGCUCUCUCUCUCUCUCUGAUGACUGGCUUUUAACCCUGCUUUCAAGUGUAGCUAUAUGGAAUGCUUAAAUACAGUUUGCCUUCCAACAUGGUUGGACAACACAUUGUACAAAGUAGUUCUUUUCAAGUAUCCCCCCCACCAUAAGCCCUGUAAGUACAGUAGGUGGUCCAAGUAGCUCUAAUGCUGAGUUUAAUUCAUCCAUCCAUUUUCCACCACUUAUCCGGGACUGGGUUGUGGUGGCUGCAUUCAGACCAAAACAGCCCAGCAAAUGCAAUUUGAGUUGGAGCUACAGAUUGAUGCGUUUAAAGGUUUAUCAGACGGCAAAACAACACACAGCGGUUUGUAAUGCUCAACUCUGGAAUGUUAUCACAACUUUUAUCUUUUGUCACAUCACAAGAUAAACAGCAGAAACAUGGCGUUCACAUGACAAAGGUCACCAGAAAUACAUAUAUGUGACUGGCCAAUAUAGAGCCUUGCUGGAUGAGGUCAUGCUGCGUUUCAGCAAAAUUUGAACCAGGUAAAACUUUUUUGCCGGACGACACUGCAUUGUUUUGCUGAGCCCUCUGCGUUGACACCCCCACUACGUCAAUGCACUGCCUCUGUUCCAACGAAUGGCAGGGUUGUGUUUUUUCACGCAGAGCUGCUGUCGGUCUGAAUGCGGCCUAAGGUAACCCAGGAUUCCCUCUCCACAGCAGCACCUUCCAGUACCUCCUGG